UCCACUGAAACAUUAUAUAAGAGCUUCAUUACUUCAUUGUCAAUUUAGUCAGAAUUUCGAAGACAUAAGAGAUUUCUAGAAUGGCAAAGCUCUCUGUGACCUUUUUCAUUCUUGCCUUACUCAUGCUCGUCUCAGUUGAGAAGAUGGUGCCCCAAGUAGAGGCAGGAACCUGCACCGAGUACCUGGGGGACUGCAAUCUCCAAUUCAGUUUACCUCAAUGCGUGAAAGAAUGUAAAAAGAAGCACAAGGACGGCGAGGGUACCUGUAACACUGUGAUUUAUCCCCAAACUCAAUGCCAAUGUCUUUACAAUUGUUGACAUCAUCUCACCCUGGCUCGAAAGGGAAAAUUAAAAGAGAUUAUGUCACCAUAAUAAUGAAUAAAUGGGUUUUGAAGUGCUCA